rnacentral:rRNA from 1 species
GAUGAACGCUGGCGGCGUGCCUAAUACAUGCCAGUCGAGCGAACAGAUGAGGAGCUUGCUCCUCUGACGUUAGCGGCGGACGGGUGAGUAACACGUGGAUAACCUACCUAUAAGACUGGGAUAACUUCGGGAAACCGGAGCUAAUACCGGAUAAUAUAUUGAACCGCAUGGUUCAAUAGUGAAAGACGGUUUUGCUGUCACUUAUAGAUGGAUCCGCGCCGCAUUAGCUAGUUGGUAAGGUAACGGCUUACCAAGGCAACGAUGCGUAGCCGACCUGAGAGGGUGAUCGGCCACACUGGAACUGAGACACGGUCCAGACUCCUACGGGAGGCAGCAGUAGGGAAUCUUCCGCAAUGGGCGAAAGCCUGACGGAGCAACGCCGCGUGAGUGAUGAAGGUCUUCGGAUCGUAAAACUCUGUUAUUAGGAAAGAACAAAUGUGUAAGUAACUAUGCACGUCUUGACGGUACCUAAUCAGAAAGCCACGGCUAACUACGU